rnacentral:rRNA from 1 species
UACGUAGGGUGCGAGCGUUAAUCGGAAUUACUGGGCGUAAAGCGUGCGCAGGCGGGCUUUUAAGCCAGACGUGAAAUCCCCGGGCUUAAACCUGGGAAUGGCGUUUGGGACUGGAAGUCUGGAGUGCGGCAGAGGAGACUGGAAUUCCUGGUGUAGCAGUGAAAUGCGUAGAUAUCAGGAGGAACACCGAUGGCGAAGGCAGGUCUCUGGGACGUGACUGACGCUGGAGACGCGAAAGCGUGGGGAGCAAACAGG